AACACUCUCUCCCCCCUAAAUUUAAUCUUUUUGUUCUUUCCAUAUUUUCUUUCAAUAAAAAUUCCCUUUCCAUUAUUUUUGUUUUUCCCUAAAAAUCAUGAGCCACUAAAUCUAAUCUAGCCGAAGGUUGUCGAAAUUCCCCAAAAAGAUUCAUGAGGCUUAGAAUCCGCGCUCAGCCUUCUCAAUAGGGUAUUCAUCGCUUCUUCGCAUUACGGGGCUGGAUCUUCCGUCCAUGUCCCUUAAUAGGUGAUCUUUUCAACUUGUGCAAAGAAAGACCGUUUUGCACAUUUUGGGAAGGUUGCCUAGUCAGUUCGUUGACUUUCUGCAUCAGAGAUUGGCGAGUCCAAGAGACAAAAUGACGUGGUAUUUGCCAUUAGGAAGUGAUGAUCUAGUAGAAGAUAGUCCCGCAAAAGCGAUUAUUGGCUAGAGUCAGGUUCCGCCAAAUCUUAAGUCUAAAUUCUUGGAGUUGGUGGUCGUAGGCGUCCUCUUCCACUAUAACUGGCUUACUCUGCUUGAGAAAGGUCACUUAAAAGCCAAUGAUUGAACUCAAGGCGAAUCAAGACAACCAGAGGCUGGAAAUCCACCAUAAGAAAUCUUUUUCUCAACUUUAUUUUUGCUUUUAAUUUCUGAAAUUUCAAUUCAACUUUUAAUUUCAUUUUUUUUAUUUCACUCUCAGAUUAAAACUUUAAAAAUCUGUUUUUUUUUUAAUUUUUUUUAGGAACGCAGAUUUUUUUGGGCACGAUUCUUCCUAAGAUUUCGAGAAACAAGCAUUCGUGCAAUCCGGUCCCUGAGGAUUCGACCCUACUUCCUCUUUACUGUUCUUUUUUAAUAUUUUAGGAAAUAGGAUAUUUUUUGUGCUCUCAACGACCGCAUCAAUAACUUACUUUUUAACCCCAAAAAAAAAUAGCAGUCACUAACUUUAUUACAGUAGAGAUUAAUAAAUUUAAUUAUUUUCUGUAAUUUACAAUAUUAUUAUGUCAAUAUUAAC
rnacentral:lncRNA from 1 species